UUGGGGGAUCAGUAACAAGUCAAAGAGCCGUUCACGUGUAAGUGACAGUGUUUGGUGUUUGGCCAAUGGCACUAGCUACUGAAAGGUGUUACCUGUUUGGGUUUCAGUUUAGCUUCUGCUGAAUCAUGUGCACAUCACAGACACUAUGCAUACAGCAGAGGCAAAUACAUGGACACACUGAAUAAUUCUCUCCCCCGUAGGUGACUAUCCUUUCGGGUCGGGGUUGAGGUAUGUUGGCCAGGCAGUGCAGGGAGGUUUGUACAACUUGCUGCUGAGCAUGUGCUAGCUCUUUCCCUCUGUCCCCAAUUCACAGGGGACUGUAAGUCUCAUAUAGCCCCAGCUAGAGAAUUUUGGCUCUUUUCUUAAAGCUGUUGCACCUCAUACUUCCAUGUAAUAGAUGUCCAUAUCACAAACACAGGCUCUGGAGGCCCCCGGUUUAACCCCUAGUUGGUUAGUGAGGAUUGUGGUCGUCACACUUGGACUGAUGAUCCUGCUUGUGCUGUACCUACUCUGCUGAUACAUGGAAGAGCUUGGGCUGCUAUCUGAAGACUUCUGACUAGCACUGGAUUCACACUCAUGCAGCUUGGCUGCUUUGGACCAGGAUCACAUCAUACAGGAGUUUAUUCAAUGUGAAUCUGACCUGUGAACUUUACCAGAACUAUUACUGCAAACUCCCCUCAGCUAACCAGAGGAAAAGAAUAAGCUUGGUUGUACUCAGUCCCCACUAUGGAGGAUUAUGUAUGGGCCAGUGUCACAACCCAGUACCUACCUCUCUUCCCUUCUUCCCCCUCCCUCCCUCCCAGCAUUUGAGGAAGUUUGGGACUGGGUCCAGAUGUGAAUUUCACGGCUGGCACCUAUCUUUAUAAUGGGCAACAACUAAACCCAGAUUUAAAUUCACCUGUGAACUCAGGACUGGGUGUUUUGGGAAUGGAAAUCAACCACAUGACAACAGCCUGUUGUUCAAGUUCUUUAAUUUUGUGGCUACCUUUUAAUCAAGUCAAGCCAUUUGGCUUUUCCCCCGUGCACACAUUGCUCCUCUAGUUUUUUCCUCAUGGUCAGGGAGUUUGGGGCUUGCCUGUAGUCAUCCCCAG
rnacentral:lncRNA from 1 species